rnacentral:rRNA from 1 species
UACGUAGGGUGCGAGCGUUAAUCGGAAUUACUGGGCGUAAAGCGUGCGCAGGCGGUUCGUUAAGUCAGCUGUGAAAGCCCCGGGCUUAACCUGGGAAUGGCGGUUGAAACUGGCGAACUUGAAUCUGGCAGAGGGGGGCGGAAUUCCACGUGUAGCAGUGAAAUGCGUAGAGAUGUGGAGGAACACCGAUGGCGAAGGCAGCCCCCUGGGCUGAGAUUGACGCUCAGGCACGAAAGCGUGGGGAGCAAACAGG